rnacentral:misc_RNA from 1 species
AAAAAAGGGUAGAAUAGGUAUAAACAAACAUAUUGCAGACACGAAACUUCGUACUUGAUACGAAAUGGAAGAUCACAACCUUGGGCAAUGGUAGACUUCUUCUACAGUACUUGAAACAUGCAGUCAAAAUUAAAUUUCAGGAGAAAAGUUUCUGCAAUGUGCUUUCAACUUCAGACAUUAAUUUACACCUAUCUCCACUUCUACUAGCAUCUCAGUUCUAUUAGCCCACUUGGAGCCGUCUAAUCAUAGCUGUUUUAUUAAAAUAACACACCCUACCAAAUAUUAGGUAAAAUGUAAGACACUUUUGGCUCAAUGGCUAACAAUCAUUUAGGCAAUCCACUUGUUCAGGAAACAUAGUCCACUUUGCAGCAAUGCAAGGUACCUUGCCAUGAUCAAUUCAUACACUGGAAUUCUCAACACCUCAGGACUCUUAAGAGAAUUUCAACAGCUCCUAUCCAUGUAAAGAGAUUCUUAACAAUAAUGCCACCUUCAAUAGAUUCUUAACAACUACAUUUCUUCAUUUUCUUCACAAACAAAGACAUAGUGUUCUAUUUUCUCCUUAAGUGGGUAAAACAAUAAGCCUAUA